rnacentral:lncRNA from 1 species
GCCGACUGUGCUGCCCCCCGACGCCUACUGCUGCUGCUGCUUCAACCAAACGAACUCUGCUGCUGCUUUGAAUUGUCCUGCUUCGACCAAAAUUCAGUGGAAUUGCCCGGCCUCUGCUGCUGCUGCUGCUAGGUAGGCAGUCCUGCGAAAUUGGUAAUGUUAGUUUGGAAACAUUCAAUCAUGUUAAUUAUGGAAACAUUCCAUCAUGUUAAUUAUCGAAACAUUAGAUCAGGAAAUGGGAUUCUGUUACUUUUGGAAACAUUCAAUCAUGUUAAUUAUGGAAACAUUAGAUCAGGAAAUGAAUUUUGUUAAUUUUGGAAACAAUUGAACCAUGUUAACUUCGGAAACAUUAAAUCAGACAAGAUUUUGGCAACUGGAAUUACUACGACAUGGAUUAUGGACUCUCACCUGAUCAUCAUCUAUGUUCAGGUUCUAAAAAUAUUCAAUUAGACAGUUUGGACUUGUGGCUGUACUUUGCUAUUUAAAUAUGUUCAGGUUGUAAAAAUGGGACAGCAAUAUAACAUCAAGCAAAACUCUUGCAAAUUUUUAGUUUCGACAGUGUCAAAGAAUACAGUAGUUUUGAGAGUAAUUUUGAUAAUUCAAGCAAAUUAAUUUUUACAACCUGAUAAUUUUGAUAAUUCCAAACAAAGAGUUGGGGCAUCCCUGUUUGACAAACCACUCUCAAAAAAUGACCUGUAAUUUUGUAAUUUACUCCAAAUCACGAAGAGAUACGACAACCAUAUGUCCAAAUCAUGAAUCACAACAAGAAACUCUAAAGUUGAAUGAUGUGAAGUGGAUGAACUAAAGAAGGACCAAGCAUGUUGUGUGUUGUAUGCCAGGUUUCAGUUAAUCUUCUGUAUGAACUAAAGAAGUAAAUGAUGUAAACAGAGCUUGAUCCCCAGGUUUCAGGUUUCAGGAUGUAGAAAGUUCACUUAACAUAGUUAUUGAUCACCUAGUCAAGUCUGUGAUCACCUAGUCUGUGGUGUGACAAAUGGAGGGGCAUCAACCUGCACCUGUCUGACGAUGCAUUUUUUUGGGGUUCACAUAUCAUACAAGUUCAGAGAUAAAAACAAGAUCUCCUAACAAUCUACUCUAGGAUAAAAAUAUAACUCUGUUUAGUGCUAGCUUUCUUCCUAACAAAGUUACUGCUCCUAAAUAUGGACACACAAUUUUUUUUUUUUGAUUUACACAAGAUCUCACAGUGAAGGACAAUAUGGGGUACUCCUACUCCUGAUGUAGUUGCAGCUACUCCUAUUCCUUCUUCUACUCUAGCUGCAGUAAGCAAUAUCACCAGCCAAACAAUAUCUGCAGUAGUAUCUCAACAAGCAGUACUUGCUGCUAUGGAUGCGGCCAUGGAUGCAUCAAACAAGUUUUAAAAUCAAAUUUAAACAAUGCUGCUAUUCAAAAAUUAGAUGGAAAAAGCUCAAGAUAAUUAAUCAUGACUACUGUCACAUGACAGAUUACUCCUGUACAGUACUGUGCCAUUUUUUAAGUGCAGACUAAUUCUAUAAGUGCACGUUAAUUCUAGAAGUGCAGACGUUUAGUUGUGAGAUUAUACAGCAGGAACAUUCAGUCUCUAAUUCAGAUGUUUGCAGUUGAAAAUGCAGCAAUUCAGGAAUCACCUGAAUCAAUUCAGACCAUUGCCGCAGAUGUCCUUGAACUGCCUCUCCUUCCACCUGAAGAUGUUGCCACUCCUUCAAAGCACAAACUUUCAGACCAGAGCAUGCAGCAAUCCAACAGAAGAUUUCGCCACUCCUUAAACUGCCACCACACACACCGAAUCGUCGGCCUUGAGCGAAGCCUGCUUGUUCCUCACAUCAAACGCCUGUAGAAAUCCAAGAAGAUGAAGAAAUUGGGUGGACAUGGCCCGACCAAUCUAAGAAGAUAAAGAAGAAAUUGCAAUGGGCGCAGUAGAUCGAAGGGAGGAGAAGUGGAAAAAGGAGACCUUUGACUCCGGCGGGCUCCUGGGUGAGCUCCUCCACCUACCUCUUUGCGAUCCGCCAAGCAGCCGCCGCGCAAGGAGGGCGAGAAAGGAGGGCGCCCGGCCGCCGUGCCCCGCCGCUGCGCAAGGAGUACACACAUGGUCGUUGGACAGGAGCAGCGGAAGGAUCGACAAAAAAAAUGCAUGCUUCACGUUGGGGAACGAGGUGGGGAACGAGGCGGCGUG